UACGAAGGGGGGCUAGCGUUGUUCGGAAUCACUGGGCGUAAAGCGCACGUAGGCGGAUUUUUUAAGUCAGGGGUGAAAUCCCGAGGCUCAACCUCGGAACUGCCUUUGAUACUGGAGAUCUUGAGUCCGGAAGAGGUAAGUGGAACUGCGAGUGUAGAGGUGAAAUUCGUAGAUAUUCGCAAGAACACCAGUGGCGAAGGCGGCUUACUGGUCCGGAACUGACGCUGAGGUGCGAAAGCGUGGGGAGCAAACAGG
rnacentral:rRNA from 1 species